AGAGACAGAGUCGCCGCGGUAAUACAGAGGGUGCAAGCGUUAAUCGGAAUUACUGGGCGUAAAGCGCGCGUAGGCGGCUUGGUAAGUUAGAGGUGAAAGCCCAGGGCUCAACCCUGGAAUUGCCUUUAAGACUGCCGAGCUAGUAGGUGAGAGAGGUAAGUGGAAUUCCGAGUGUAGAGGUGAAAUUCGUAGAUAUUCGGAAGAACACCAGUGGCGAAGGCGGCUUACUGGCUCAUUCUAGACGCUGAGGUGCGAAAGCGUGGGGAGCAAACAGGAUUAGAUACCCGCGUAGUCCCUGUCUCUUAUACA
rnacentral:rRNA from 1 species